GACUGUACAAAGGUAGCAUAAUCAUUUGUCUUUUAAUUGAAGGCUGGCAUGAAAGGUUGGAUGAGAAAUAUACUUUCUUUAUUUUAUAAUAAAAACUUAAUUUUUUGGUUAAAAAGCCAAAAUGUUUUUAUAGGACGAGAAGACCCUAUAGAGCUUUAUUUUCUUUUUAUAUAAGUUUUUUAGUAUAUUAAAAUAUUAUAUAUUUUUGUUAAUUUUGUUGGGGUGACAGGAAAAAUUAUAUAACUUUUUCUAUUUUUUACAUAAAUUUAUGUUUUGUAUGAUCCUUUAAUAUGGAUAAUAAGAUUAAGCUACCUUAGGGAUAACAGCGUUAUUUCUUUGUAGAGUUCUUAUCGAUAAAGAAGUUUGCGACCUCGAUGUUGGAUUAAAAUAAGUGACAGGAGUAGGAUAUUGUUUGACUAGGUCUGUUCGACCUUUAAAUUUUUACA
rnacentral:rRNA from 1 species